rnacentral:rRNA from 1 species
GUGCCAGCAGCCGCGGUAAUACGGAGGGUGCAAGCGUUAUCCGGAUUCACUGGGUUUAAAGGGUGCGUAGGUGGGUCUGUAAGUCAGUGGUGAAAUCUCCGGGCUCAACCCGGAAACUGCCAUUGAUACUAUCAGUCUUGAAUAUCGUAGAGGCAGGCGGAAUAUAUCAUGCAGCGGUGAAAUGCAUAGAUAUGAUAUAGAACACCAAUUGCGAAGGCAGCUUGCUAAACGAUCAUUGACGCUGAGGCACGAAAGCGUGGGGAUCAAACAGGAUUAGAAACCCCCGUAGUCC